rnacentral:rRNA from 1 species
UAGGUUGCAAGCGUUGUCCGGAAUUACUGGGUGUAAAGGGCGUGUAGGCGGAGCUGCAAGUCAGAUGUGAAAUCCCGGGGCUCAACCCCGGAACUGCAUUUGAAACUGUAGCCCUUGAGUAUCGGAGAGGCAAGCGGAAUUCCUAGUGUAGCGGUGAAAUGCGUAGAUAUUAGGAGGAACACCAGUGGCGAAGGCGGCUUGCUGGACGACAACUGACGCUGAGGCGCGAAAGCGUGGGGAGCAAACAGGAUUAGAUACCCUGGUAGUCCACGCUGUAAACGAUGAAUACUAGGUGUGGGAGGACUGACCCCUUCCGUGCCGCAGUUAACACAAUAAGUAUUCCACCUGGGGAGUACGACCGCAAGGUUGAAACUCAAAGGAAUUGACGGGGGCCCGCACAAGCAGUGGAUUAUGUGGUUUAAUUCGACGCAACGCGAAGAACCUUACCAGGAUUUGACAUCCAACUAACGAAGUAGAGAUACAUUAGGUGCCCUUCGGGGAAAGUUGAGACAGGUGGUGCAUGGUUGUCGUCAGCUCGUGUCGUGAGAUGUUGGGUUAAGUCCCGCAACGAGCGCAACCUCUAUUGUUAGUCGCUACGCAAGAGCACUCUAGCGAGACUGCCGUUGACAAAACGGAGGAAGGCGGGGACGACGUCAAAUCAUCAUGCCCCUUAUGUCCUGGGCUACACACGUAAUACUAUGGCGGCCAACAAAGCGAAGCAAGACCGCGAGGUGGCAGCAAAUCGCAAAAAGCCGUCCCAGUUCGGAUUGCAGGCUGCAACUCGCCUGCAUGAAAUUGGAAUUGCUAGUAAUCGUGAUCAGCAUGCCACGGUGAAUACGUUCCCGGGCCUUGUACACUUCGCCCGGUCCAGCCAU